rnacentral:rRNA from 1 species
UACGUAGGGUGCGCGCGUUAAUCGGAAUUACUGGGCGUAAAGCGUGCGCAGGCGGUUUUGUAAGUCUGACGUGAAAUCCCCGGGCUCAACCUGGGAAUUGCGUUGGAGACUGCAAGGCUGGAGUCUGGCAGAGGGGGGUAGAAUUCCACGUGUAGCAGUGAAAUGCGUAGAGAUGUGGAGGAACACCGAUGGCGAAGGCAGCCCCCUGGGUCAAGACUGACGCUCAUGCACGAAAGCGUGGGGAGCAAACAGG